rnacentral:rRNA from 1 species
UACGUAGGCAGCAAGCGUUGUUCGGAGUUACUGGGCGUAAAGGGUGCGUAGGCGGCUUCUUAAGUCUGGUGUGAAAUCUCCCGGCUCAACUGGGAGGGUGCGCCGGAUACUGAGGGGCUAGAGUGUGGGAGAGGAAAGUGGAAUUCCUGGUGUAGCGGUGAAAUGCGUAGAUAUCAGAAGGAACGCCGGCGGCGAAAGCGGCGCACUGGACCUUUUCUGACGCUGAGGCGCGAAAGCUAGGGGAGCAAACGGG